rnacentral:rRNA from 1 species
UACGUAGGGGGCAAGCGUUGUCCGGAUUUAUUGGGCGUAAAGAGCGUGUAGGCGGCCUGAAAGGUCAGCUGUGAAAACUCGAGGCUCAACCUCGAGACGUCGGUUGAAACCAUCUGGCUAGAGUCCGGAAGAGGAGUGUGGAAUUCCCGGUGUAGCGGUGAAAAUGCGCAGAUAUCGGGAAGAACACCCGUGGCGAAGGCGGCACUCUGGGGACGGUACUGACGCUGAGACGCGAAAAGCGUGGGGGAGCGAACAGG